CAAAUGCUUCCUAAGAGGAUUAUACCAAUUUACAUUUUAUAAUAUAUGUUGCUGAAAAUAUUGCCAAAAAUUAGAAUCUGUUCAAGAGGACCUUGUAACAGAUGAUACAUUUCAAGUACUUAAAACACAGAGCACAGAGUAUUUCCAGUUCAGCACUGGGUCAUGACAUUGUCUAUGUGAUCUCGUAGAGUUAUGGGCGACCAUCUAUUGUACCAAAUCCAGGUAGGUAAACAGAGUGCUCGCUGAAGUAGCUUAUUUCUAUCCUAAAAAGCUGACCCUUAGCGUGUUCAAUGGGCCCUUUUGUUCAAUGAGGUCUCAAAAACUGCCCUACCGUUAUUUUAUAGCUAGUGAAAGGAAGACUUAAGACUCUGUGAAUCUUUUCCCAUGAGAGGAGGUGUACAGGGGCUCAAACCAAAGCCUGCAUGGCUCUCGAGCCAGCCUUGCAGAACCAAGGAGUCCCCACUUGUCUGCUCCUGCAGAACCCAAAGUGGGCGUGGAGAGUCAGGGUGGAACCUUGACGUCACAACUUAGUAACCAUGUAAACUGAGGAACCCACUCAGCCUGUCUGAAUCUUUGUCUCCUAAUCCUAUUAAAACCUCCUCCACCACUUGUAGAACCUUACAAAGCACAGAGAGACAGCGGGGGAGAGGUCUACAUUUCUGAUCAUCAGGGUUCUGACAGGACAUCAGUGGAAGACCCAGGAGAUACAAAACUGAAGACUGUGACCUCACUGUUGUGGCCCCAACCGGCUUACCGCCCUUCCCGGCCAAACGAGAAGAGGACAAGAUGGUCACCACUGUCACAAGCAGAGCUGGACACAUGGCGCCUCUCCCAUGGGACCUGUCACAGCCUGGAGUUGUUGCCCAUCAUUUCAAGCAUCUCCGCAGAGGCACCAGAGAGAGCACAUGCCUUCACCUACUGUUAUGCUUCUCCCCUUGUAGCAGUGAGAAGAGAACCCAGAGAGGCGAAUCUGAAUCCUGCUUCGAUAUCAAGGUUUUAGCCUCUGAUGUUCCGCGGCUGUGGGGACGACGGCCCCAUCGUUUCUUGAUCUGUGUGCCCACCCCUAGGCUUCCUAUGAGGAACAAACUCCUAUAGCAAAGGGGUCGGGAUGCGGUGGGGGGGGGGACGCUUUUUCAAUUUGAUUACA